UNGAAUGGCCAGCCUACAUUUGAUCUGC
rnacentral:piRNA from 1 species